rnacentral:rRNA from 1 species
UUUUCCUACGGGACGCAGCAGUGAGGAAUAUUGGUCAAUGGGCUUACGCCUGAACCAGCCAAGUCGCGUGAGGGAUGACGGUCCUACGGAUUGUAAACCUCUUUUGCCGGGGAGCAAGCGUGCGUUCGUGAACGCGCGUCGAGAGUACCCGGAGAAAAAGCAUCGGCUAACUCCGUGCCAGCAGCCGCGGUAAUACGGAGGAUGCGAGCGUUAUCCGGAUUUAUUGGGUUUAAAGGGUGCGUAGGCGGGAUGCCAAGUCAGCGGUAAAAAUGCGGGGCUCAACGCCGUCGAGCCGUUGAAACUGG